rnacentral:lncRNA from 1 species
AUGAAUGUUGAGUUUACGAGGAUUGGCUUUGUCAUCCAAAAAGGUCUAACGACGCAGCUUGUUGCUCGUUUGCCUCCUUUUUAUGUGUAAGUAAUAUUGAUAGUAAAAAAAAGGUAUGAUUCUUUUUGGGGUUAAUAGGUCUUUACCCCCUGUAAAAAAAAUUGUUUUGAUUUACCCCCCCUAAAUAGGCAAAACAAAAACCAAUUUUUUUUUUCAAGAAACUUUCAUUUUUGUUUGGUCUAUUAAGGGGUAAAUCAAAACAAUUUUUUUUACAAAACUGAAAAUGACCUAUAUUGCAGGAGAUAAAAGACUCGUUGACUCUUCUUUUUGUAGUAUCCUUUUCGAAAGAAGACUCGAAGAAACUUAUUGGAGAACAGCACAUAUUAGAAGCAAUUUGGUCUUUUUGUUUAAUUAAGUUUGUUAUCAUUAAAACAUCAACUUAAAAAGGAUUUUGUGAUUAUUAAAACAUCAACUUAUGAAAGAUUAUGUAAUUAUUCUCAAUAGAGCAUACUCUUCUUCUUGCCUAGGAUACAAUUGUGAACCAAGUUGAAAUAUGAAGGAGCAUGCAAGAUGUCCAAACAAUUUGAAAGUGACUAAGGGGGGAACAUGAGCUUGAAGCUCAAGUUGUUAAAACAAGGAGCAUUUAUACAUGAGCACGUAGAGUUUUAUGCUUUUGCAAGAUAUUCCAAGCAUUUUGAAGUUCGUUUUACAAUAAUGCAAAAUAACAAAAUCUUAUGCCUUUUAUCUAGAAAUGAUCUUCUUUCGAUGUUUUAUGGUGUUUUGCGAUGAAAAAUUUGUUCUUUAUGAUGACAACAUAAAAAUAAAAUUACUAUCAAAGAAAGUAAGAAUUAGUUUUUCUUUUAGGAUUUAUAUAUGAUUAUCAACUUCUACAAAACUAUGUUGUUAUCUUGAUCGUGCAUCGUUUGUAGCGUUAAAUUUGCUAUGUUUCUAACUAUUUAUUUUUUAAAUUUCUCAUU